AUCGCUUCUCGGCCUUAUGGCUAAGAUCAAAGUGUAUGUAUCACCCCGGGGGGGAAAAGUCCCCCCGGGGAAAACGGUCUUAAAGCCCAUUUUAUCUAUCUGUUCUUAUCAGCUUAGCAUCUGAUAGAUCCUCCAUCGGAGGACAACAAAUGUUAAACCGAUUUUUGGAAAUGGGCGGAGUGUUUUAGGGGCCCAAAUUAUU